GAUGAAGAACGCAGCGAAAUGCGAUAAGUAAUGUGAAUUGCAGAAUUCAGUGAAUCAUCGAGUCUUUGAACGCACAUUGCGCCCCCUGGUAUUCCGGGGGGCAUGCCUGUCCGAGCGUCAUUGCUGCCCUCAAGCACGGCUUGUGUGUUGGGCCCCGCCCCCCGGCUCCCGGGGGGCGGGCCCGAAAGGCAGCGGCGGCACCGCGUCCGGUCCUCGAGCGUAUGGGGCUUCGUCACCCGCUCCGUAGGCCCGGCCGGCGCCCGCCGGCGACCCCCCUCAAUCUUUUCAGGUUGACCUCGGAUCAGGUAGGGAUACCCGCUGAACUUAAGCAUAUCAAUCGGAGGA
rnacentral:misc_RNA from 1 species